CUCUGUGGCAAUAUUUGCUUCUGUGUCUACAUAAUGAGCAAUGUCUGUUUCAUUGGAGCCACCUACGGAAAAAGAAACAAGAAGAAAAAGGGUGUACAAGCAUCAGGAGUCCACAGCAGAAGAUGGGGGAGCAGGGCCAAUGAAAGAGAACUCACUGGGGCUUCUUCCCUGACAUAGCCAUGCAAUAACAGCCAAAUAGCCUUUCCAAUAUGUAUGUGAAGUAUACGAGAUCAAAGUAAGAGAGCACAAGCAACAUUCAAAACAUUACUUCAUUGCUGGUAUGCAUAAUAUCCAUGAGUUUGGACUUAAAUGGCCCAGAAACAAAUAAUCCUCUCAGGAGCAAAGGCAGAAAGAUUUCUUCCAACCUUCUUCCCUCAGCUCUCCAUGGCUCACCAAAAGCUGCAAGGGAGUUGAGGUCUACUUACCAGCAAAGGACAGCUGGGCUAAGAGGGUCUGGGCUAAGAAGAAACCUGAUGGAUUGGCUUGUAUCUAUGCAACCUGAAUGGCUAUGAGCUCCACAGAUGACACAAGAUCUUUUGAUUUUGGAAGGAGAGAAGAAUUUCAAUGUCAUAUGGAAGGACUGAUAUGAAGUUCUAUGAAGUAAUACUCUCCAAGUUUCAUGUCCUCUUAAUGGAAAUAGUCAACAUAAGGAAUAAUACAG